AUGCUAGAGAACAAUGAUGUAUUUGUUGUGGUUGAACCAAGAGAUCUUAGUUUCUACAAAGUCGUCAAACCCUGUAUUGAGAAGGAGGAAACCAGCUACAGAGUUUCACUUCUAAGACCUCAAAGGAUUGUACAUCCAACAGAGCCAUCUAGCAGUCUUUUGAAGAAAAAGAAACCAGAAAUACCUCCACCCUCGACAGAAAACGGCAACGAGUCGAUAUGA